rnacentral:sRNA from 1 species
GACGUUGCCCGCCUGAGCGGACAA